rnacentral:rRNA from 1 species
AACGAACGCUGGCGGCAGGCUUAACACAUGCAAGUCGAGCGCCCCGCAAGGGGAGCGGCAGACGGGUGAGUAACGCGUGGGAACGUACCUUUUGGUUCGGAACAACUCCGGGAAACUGGAGCUAAUACCGGAUAAGCCCUAACGGGGAAAGAUUUAUCGCCGAAAGAUCGGCCCGCGUCUGAUUAGCUAGUUGGUGAGGUAACGGCUCACCAAGGCGACGAUCAGUAGCUGGUCUGAGAGGAUGAUCAGCCACACUGGGACUGAGACACGGCCCAGACUCCUACGGGAGGCAGCAGUGGGGAAUAUUGGACAAUGGGCGCAAGCCUGAUCCAGCCAUGCCGCGUGAGUGAUGAAGGCCUUAGGGUUGUAAAGCUCUUUUGUCCGGGAAGAUAAUGACUGUACCGGAAGAAUAAGCCCCGGCGAACUUCGU